rnacentral:rRNA from 1 species
GAUGAACGCUAGCGACAGGCUUAACACAUGCAAGUCGAGGGGCAGCAUAAAAGUAGCAAUACUUUGGUGGCGACCGGCGCACGGGUGAGUAACGCGUAUGCAACCUACCUAUCAGAGGGGGAUAACCCGGCGAAAGUCGGACUAAUACCGCAUAAAACAGGGGCACCGCAUGGUGAUAUUUGUUAAAAAUUUAUUGCUGAUAGAUGGGCAUGCGUUCCAUUAGGUAGUUGGAGAGGUAACGGCUCACCAAGCCUACGAUGGAUAGGGGAACUGAGAGGUUGGUCCCCCACACUGGUACUGAGACACGGACCAGACUCCUACGGGAGGCAGCAGUGAGGAAUAUUGGUCAAUGGGCGAGAGCCUGAACCAGCCAAGUCGCGUGAAGGAAGAAGGAUCUAUGGUUCGUAAACUUCUUUUGCAGGGGAAUAAAGUGGAGGACGUGUCCUUUUUGUAUGUACCCUGAGAAUAAGGAUCGGCUAACUCCGUGCCAGCAGCCGCGGUAAUACGU